AUUAAGGUGGCAGAUCAGUGCGUAAGAUUUAAGUUCUUAUUAGGGAAUAUAGGUGAAUAUUCUUCUUAAUA
rnacentral:tRNA from 1 species